ensembl:lncRNA
CGGAGAGGGGGCCCGGCCCCCGGGCCGCCCAGCUCAGCGCCGCCCGCGGGCUCCGGAGCGCAUCGGGAGCUGGGCCGGGCUUGGGGCCGCGCUGCCGCCGGCGCUGCGCUGUGCUCCGCGUUCGCCUAUUGAUCUGAUCCGCGGCGGCGACGGCGGCGGCGAGGAGCCAGGUCAGGUCCGAACAGAUUGGCGGAGAUUCCCGGGGCUCCGGGCUCUGAUUGACAUUUCUACGGGGCGCAAGCCCCUCCUCUCUGCGCCGCGCUCCCUCCUCUCGGCCGCCGGAGCUGCCUCUGCCCGCGCCUCGCUCCUCACUGCCCUCCUCUCCCCAGCAGUGUCGCGCCUCGCUUCCUUCUCCCUCCUCUAGUUUUCACUCCCCCUCCUCGCCCUUCCUCUCCCCUCCCCUCUCCGCACUCCUCUUCCCCCCAGGAUCGCUUCCGCUCCUUCGGGCUCCUGCACUGCCCUGGACGCUAUGAAACUCUCCUUUCUCCUCUCCCCUUCCCUUUCCCUUUCUCACGAUGGCUUUUGCUCUCCGGUCCGUUCCCUUCACUUUUUCCUCUCUCACUACUUCUAUUCUUUAAAUCUCUCUCUUUACUCACACGAUACUUCCCCCAACCUUUCCAGCCUCUGCACCCUGGGCUAAGUAAGGCAGCCAAAAGUUGUGGACACUUAGGGUGCCGCGCGGGGGGUGUGUGUCCGUGUCUGUGUGUCCAUCCCCGCCCUUCCACCCCCUCCCUCGCCCUUCCCCAAAUCUCGGGUCUGACGUCGCGCCCUCUUAUUCGACUUUUCCCCGCGUCUCUUCCCCGAGUCGCCAAUCGCCUGGGCGCCUUACGGGCGAGGCCGCCCACCCCCGCGGAUUCCGCGCGCAGGGCGGGGCGGGGCAGGGGCGGGAGCCGGAGUGCCGCGAGUCCCUGCCCGCCCCCUCCUGCCCGCGCCGGGCGGGGGAGCGAGAGGCGCGGGGACUGGCAGCGGCGGACUCCUGAGAGCAUGGCCUGGCGUCCGCACAGGGUGGAAUUCGUAUUUGGCCAGGAAUCCGGACUCCGAGCAUCCCAGGAGACGCGGACCGGGGGCCUCCAGAGCUCUCCGGAGCGUGCUGCCGCUCCCCACCGGCCACCGGGGACUUGGAGGCCCUUCUUGGGUCCGGAGAAGCGACGGGGAAACUUAGGGGUAAACUUUGUCAACUUCGCUCUCGGCGCGGGAGAGGCCGCCGGCCGGAAUGGUGCAACAGCGGUGGCGGGCCGCGACGCGCAGAUGAAUUUGUCGCCUUAUUGGACGCCGAGGCCAGAGCGGUGUGAGGGGGCUCGGCCAGCGCUGUGCAUUUUCUUCAUGCAUAUUGAGAAGAUGGAACCCCUGGCUGGCUCGCGACGGCUCCUCCGAGCCCCCCUGCCCACCAGCCUCUGA